UGGGGAAUAUUGGACAAUGGGGGCAACCCUGAUCCAGCCACGCCGCGUGUGUGAAGAAGGCCUUUUGGUUGUAAAGCACUUUAAGCAGGGAGGAGAGGCUAAUGGUUAAUACCCAUUAGAUUAGACGUUACCUGCAGAAUAAGCACCGGCUAACUCUGUGCCAGCAGCCGCGGUAAUACAGAGGGUGCGAGCGUUAAUCGGAAUUACUGGGCGUAAAGCGAGUGUAGGUGGCUCAUUAAGUCACAUGUGAAAUCCCCGGGCUUAACCUGGGAACUGCAUGUGAUACUGGUGGUGCUAGAAUAUGUGAGAGGGAAGUAGAAUUCCAGGUGUAGCGGUGAAAUGCGUAGAGAUCUGGAGGAAUACCGAUGGCGAAGGCAGCUUCCUGGCAUAAUAUUGACACUGAGAUUCGAAAGCGUGGGUAGCAAACAGGAUUAGAUACCCUGGUAGUCCACGCCGUAAACGAUGUCUACUAGCCGUUGGGGUCCUUGAGACUUUAGUGGCGCAGUUAACGCGAUAAGUAGACCGCCU
rnacentral:rRNA from 1 species